UACGUAGGAGGCAAGCGUUGUCCGGAAUUACUGGGCGUAAAGCGCGUGUAGGUGGUGGGACAGGUCUGCUGUGAAAGCGCCUGGCUUAACCGGGCGAGGUCGGCGGAAACUGUUCGACUCGAGGACGGUAGAGGGGGGUGGAAUUCCCGGUGUAGUGGUGAAAUGCGUAGAGAUCCGGAGGAACCCCAGAGGCGAAGGCGGCCCCCUGGCUCGUACCUGACGCUCAGCCACGAAAGCAUGGGGAGCGAACGGG
rnacentral:rRNA from 1 species